rnacentral:rRNA from 1 species
UACGGAGGGGGCUAGCGUUGUUCGGAAUUACUGGGCGUAAAGCGCGCGUAGGCGGCUUUGUAAGUUAGAGGUGAAAGCCCGGAGCUCAACUCCGGAAUUGCCUUUAAGACUGCAUCGCUAGAAUCAUGGAGAGGUUAGUGGAAUUCCGAGUGUAGAGGUGAAAUUCGUAGAUAUUCGGAAGAACACCAGUGGCGAAGGCGACUAACUGGCCCGAUACUGACGCUGAGGUGCGAAAGCGUGGGGAGCAAACAGG